rnacentral:tRNA from 6 species
GCCGAGGUGGCGAAAUUGGCAGACGCACUAGACUUAGGAUCUAGCGUCGAAAGACGUGCGAGUUCGAGUCUCGCCCUCGGCACCA